rnacentral:rRNA from 1 species
UGCGUAGGUGGUCUUUUAAGUCGGAUGUGAAAUCCCUGAGCUUAACUUAGGAAUUGCAUUCGACACUGGGAGACUAGAGUAUGGGAGAGGAUGGUAGAAUUCCAGGUGUAGCGGUGAAAUGCGUAGAGAUCUGGAGGAAUACCGAUGGCGAAGGCAGCCAUCUGGCCUAAUACUGACACUGAGGCACGAAAGCAUGGGGAGCAAACA